AUUGAACGCUGGCGGCAUGCUUUACACAUGCAAGUCGAACGGCAGCGCGGGCUUCGGCCUGGCGGCGAGUGGCGAACGGGUGAGUAAUGCAUCGGAACGUGCCCAGUAGUGGGGGAUAGCCCGGCGAAAGCCGGAUUAAUACCGCAUACGACCUGAGGGUGAAAGCGGGGGACCGAAAGGCCUCGCGCUAUUGGAGCGGCCGAUGUCGGAUUAGCUAGUUGGUGGGGUAAAGGCUUACCAAGGCGACGAUCCGUAGCUGGUCUGAGAGGACGACCAGCCACACUGGGACUGAGACACGGCCCAGACUCCUACGGGAGGCAGCAGUGGGGAAUUUUGGACAAUGGGGGCAACCCUGAUCCAGCUAUGCCGCGUGCGGGAAGAAGGCCUUCGGGUUGUAAACCGCUUUUGUUCGGGAAGAAAUCCUCUGGGCUAAUACCCCGGGGGGAUGACGGUACCGGAAGAAUAAGCACCGGCUAACUACGUG
rnacentral:rRNA from 1 species